AGCCGCGUCCCAUCUGUGCGGGACCCCACUGGAAAUCGGACUGUUCAACUCACCUGGCAGCCACUCCCAGAGCCCCUGGAACUCUGGCCUAAGGCUCUCUGACUCCUUCCCAGAUCUUCUUGGCUUAGCGGCUGAAGACUGACACUGCCCGAUCACCUCGGAAGCCCCCUAGACCAUCACGGAUGCUGAGCUUCGGGUAACUCGCACAGUGGAAGACCUGUUCCUUCUACCCAAGAAAGAACAGUUAAUGAAGCCACAUGAGCAUCCCUCCCUGCCAACAGGUGUACACCUUAGAGAAGAGACAGACAAGUAUAUGACGUAAUCGGAUAAAUGUCUCGACAAUCUAUUACAGCAGCUCAACAAAGGGCCACCUAAUUGAACCUGGAAGUAUCAGGAAGGCUUCCUGGAAAACGUGAUAGCUAAGUGGAGUUUUUAACAAUAGUAGUAAUAAUAACAACCUUGUUAUUCUAAAUGGUUCAUAUUUAUUUUUUAAUAAAAAAUAUUUCAUAUUUUUUAUUUAUGAAUAAAUAUUUAAUAUUUGCAGCAGCCCCAUGAUCAAUGUACUAUUAUUAUCCAUUUUACAGAUAAGCAGGUGGAGGUAAAAAGGGGUUAAGUUACUUGCCCAAGUCAGUACAGACAGAGAGUGAAAGGGUCAGGAUAUAAAUCUAGUCUAGCCUGAAUCCAUAGCCCAUUUUUAACCACCCACUAUGCUAAAAUCUUUUCUAUUUCAAGCAGAGGAAAGAAGGUGUUCAAUGUGCUGAGAUAUGAGAAAACACCAAGCAUUCAGGGACCUGCAAGCAGGUCAAUAAAGUUAAAGCAUAGUGUAUGAGUAAUGAGUGCCAAAAAUAAGUGUAACUUUAUCAGUAAGAAUUGCAGGCACUGUUGGUUAUAACUUUUGAUUCACGUACACUGCUCAGAAAGACAAAGUUGUGCUGCAAUAACAACACAACUUCAAAAUUUCAGUGGCUUAAAACAACAAAUGUUUAUUUCUUGCUCAUAUGACACAUCCAAUAUGGAAAGUUCUGCUCAUGAGACCCACUUAGAAACCAAGGCUAAUGUGGGCCAUAUCUUAACUCUUGGCUUCCAGGAUUGUUCUGGCAGGAAAAGAGAGAAUUGCGGAAUCAAGCACCCGCAGUUAAAUGCUUUGGCCCAGAAGUGAUGUGUGUCACAUUUCAUUGUCCAAUGCUAGUUACAUGAUGAUACCUAACUUCAAGAGGGCAGGGAAGUACAAUCCCUGUACUUGUACUUUGAAUCUGAGCAGUACUUGAGAUCAGUAACUGCAUACCAUAAGUUAUUGUCUUCAGUAUUGAAAAGUAAUACCAUGCAGCACAUAAAAAUACGAUUUGGGCCGGGCGUGGUGGCUCACGCCUGUAAUCCCAGCACUUUGGGAGGCCGAGGCGGGUGGAUCAUGAGGUCAGGAGAUCGAGACCAUCCUGGCUAACACAGUGAAACCCCGUCUCUACUAAAAAUACAAAAAAUUAGCCGGGAGCGGUGGCGGGCUCCUGUAGUCCCAGCUACUUGAGAGGCUGAGGCAGGAGAAUGGCGUGAACCCAGGAGGCGGAGCUUGCAGUGAGCCGAGAUCGCGCCACUGUACUCCAGCCUGGGCGACAGAGCCAGACGCUGUCUCAAAAAAAAAAAAAAAAAAAAAAAAAUACGAUUUGAAGUCAGACACAAUGAGGUGAGAAUCCCAACUUCACAACUCAUUAGUCUGCGUGAUUCUGAUUAUGGUUCUUAGCCCUCAAAAUUGCAGUUUCUUUUUCUUAAAUAUAGAGACAUUCCCUUUCGAGAUUGCUGUGAGGUUUAAAUGAGAUUAUGUCUAAAAGCUUAGUGCUUAUGACAAAGUAGAAGUCCAAUAAAUGGUGGCUUUAUUUGGAAUUGAUCAAGAAUUUGCAAUUUAGUAAAAGUCAAGAGCAGACUACAAAAAGGAUUGUAGUUGAUUGGAAUCAUCACCAUAGGUUAUAUAACAAAAUAUUCAGUGAAGAAGCAGGAAAUUAUAGUUAAUGUGCAAUAAACCAGGGAUUCUCUUCCUAGUUUCUCAUUUAUAUUAGCCUUUUAAAGCUGCCUAACAAAUUACCAUAAACAUACUGGCUUAAAACAAUUCCUGUGUAUUAGCUUACAGUUUUGUAGGGUGGAAGUCCAAGCAGGGCUCAGUUUUCUGAUCAGUUUCUCACAGGCUGAAAUCAAAGUGUUGACCGGGCUGCAUUCUCAUCUGGAGCUGGGUUCUUCUUCCAGUGUUAUGUCCUCACUGCAGAAUUCAGCUCCUUCCAGUAUGUGAUUGACGUGCCCGUUCCUUGCUGGCUAUUGGUCAGGAGCUGCUCUCAGCAGCUAGAGUUCAUCCACAGUUCCUUGCCACAUGGCCCCCAAAGACAAUCACAAUAUGGUUGUUUGCUUUCUUCCAAGCCAGGAGGUAUUCCUUCUCUCAGACUACAUCCUCUAUGAAUAGCCCUAGAAAACACUCUAAGCUUUUAAAGAGAUCACCUGAUUAGCUCAGGCUCUUUUUUAAAAAAUAUAACAAUUACUGGAGUGAAAUUUCAUAGUAUUCAGAAGUUCCACCCACAUUAAACUGGAGGAUCAUAUGAUGGAGAGAAUCAUUGGCAAUCAUCUGAGAAGUCUGUCUACCACAUCUCUUCACAGCUUUUCCAUGCUGAAGGCAACAAUGUAUUUUAUGACAAACAAUGAUUCACAGAGGUAGUGCAUAGGAGGCAUCUGUGGUAUUUAACACACAAUUCUUAAUCCCAACUAGCCUAGAAUUCCUAGGACUGGGAAACCCACUCCUUAGGGAAAUCAUCACAUAUUUGUUGGAAGGCAAUUCUCCACAUGUCUCUCAUUUCUGCACCUUAUAAGCAUAGGUACCUACUGCUUUGUUCCAUUUCUGCACCUUAUAAGUAGAGGUACCCUUUGUUCUAGACUAUCUUUUCAAGGACAAUUGUAGCACACACAACCUUGAAAGACAGAUACUGUGUCUUCCUCCAGAGCAAAGAACAAAUUUGAUUACUAGUCUGUAUAAUAAUUAUACCUCUUUCCAAAGCAAAGGGCAAGCAUACUUCCUGCCAUUAUAAAAGAUUCAGAUUUCCCGAGUCAGGAUUCCUCUCCUGGAAUAAAGCUCACUGUGAAUAAGACAUCUACCUGGGUCCAUUCACUUCAUCCCUAUGGAACAUGGAAGCAAGGGGAAACUGACCAAACAUGGUGAGAGACUGGCUACUAUUAUUGCUAUGAGUAAUGAACUAUCCUUUGUCUUGGAUCCAGGAGUUUCAUGUCUUCCACCAGCAUCCAUAAAACUGUGACAAACUAACAAGCUUACUUAAUCUACUUCCUUAGCUUGCAAGUAGACUUAAAAUCUUAGAACUUUCAUAGUUCUUGACAAUAUUCAAGGUAUUAAAAGAGAGACUAGAAGGACUGCAUGGUGGAAAAAAAAUGUACUCAGAAGAAAAAAGCUAACUGCGUUCAUUUGUAAAGAA
rnacentral:lncRNA from 1 species